rnacentral:rRNA from 1 species
UACGUAGGGGGCAAGCGUUGUCCGGAUUUAUUGGGCGUAAAGAGCGUGUAGGCGGCUAGAUAGGUCCGUUGUGAAAACUCGAGGCUCAACCUCGAGACGUCGAUGGAAACCAUCUGGCUAGAGUCCGGAAGAGGAGAGUGGAAUCCUGGUGUAGCGGUGAAAUGCGCAGAUAUCAGGAAGAACACCCGUGGCGGAAGGCGGCUCUCUGGUACGUGACUGACGCUGAGACGCGGAAAGCGUGGGGAGCAAACAGG